rnacentral:pre_miRNA from 1 species
AGUAGAAUUGCUGGGUCACAUGGUAAGUUUAACAUUUUGAGGAACUGCUGAACUGUUUUCCAAAGUGGCUGCACCAUUUCACAUUUUCACCAGCAGU